AACGAACGCUGGCGGCGUGGAUAAGACAUGCAAGUCGAACGGGACAGACCGAGUAGCAAUAUUUGGAAUGUUCAGUGGCGAACGGGUGCGUAACACGUGGAUAACAUUCCGGAAAGCGGGGAAUAGCCCAGGGAAACUUUGAUUAAUACCGCAUGUGGCCGCAAGGCUAAAGACGGGGACCGCAAGGCCUGUCACUUUCCGAUGUGUCCGCGGCCUAUCAGCGAGUUGGCGGGGUAAUGGCCCACCAAGGCUACGACGGGUAGCUGGUCUUAGAGGACGACCAGCCACACUGCAACUGAGACACGGUCCAGACACCUACGGGUGGCAGCAGUCGAGAAUCUUUCACAAUGGGGGCAACCCUGAUGGAGCGACGCCGCGUGGAGGAUAAGGUCUUCGGAUUGUAAACUCCUGUCAUGCGAGAACAAGGUACUCAGGCUAAUAACCUGAUUGUUUGAUGGUACCGCAAGAGGAAGAGACGGCUAACUCUGUGCCAGCAGCCGCCGUAACAC
rnacentral:rRNA from 1 species